UACGGAGGGUGCAAGCGUUGUCCGGAUUUAUUGGGCUUAAAGGGUGCGUAGGCGGCUAAUUAAGUCAGUGGUGAAAUACAGCAGCUCAACUGUUGAGGUGCCAUUGAUACUGAAUAGCUUGAGUACAGAUGAGGUAGGCGGAAUUUAUGGUGUAGCGGUGAAAUGCAUAGAUACCAUAAAGAACACCGAUUGCGAAGGCAGCUUACUAAGCUGUAACUGACGCUGAGGCACGAAAGCGUGGGGAGCGAACAGG
rnacentral:rRNA from 1 species